rnacentral:rRNA from 1 species
AGCGAACGCUGGCGGCAGGCCCAACACAUGCAAGUCGAACGAACUCUUCGGAGUUAGUUGCGGACGGGUGAGUAACACGUGGGAACGUGCCUUUUGGUUCGGAAUAACUCAGGGAAACUUGUGCUAAUACCGAAUGUGCCCUUCGGGGGAAAGAUUUAUCGCCAUUAGAGCGGCCCGCGUCUGAUUAGCUAGUUGGUGAGGUAACGGCUCACCAAGGCGACGAUCAGUAGCUGGUCUGAGAGGAUGACCAGCCACACUGGGACUGAGACACGGCCCAGACUCCUACGGGAGGCAGCAGUGGGGAAUCUUGCGCAAUGGGCGAAAGCCUGACGCAGCCAUGCCGCGUGAAUGAUGAAGGUCUUAGGAUUGUAAAAUUCUUUCACCGGGGACGAUAAUGACGGUACCCGGAGAAGAAGCCCCGGCUAACUUCGUG